AAGACUACACUUUCAGGGAUCAUUUCUAUAGUUCUUUAAUCAGAAUUUCCAUGUUUCUCUUAACUAGAAGCAACAAAAGUAGAAAUUCAG
rnacentral:snoRNA from 1 species